ensembl:lncRNA
UCUGCAGGAAGCAGCAAAAAAUGGGGUCUGCAACACACACAGUGUGUGUGUUCCUGUGUUUUUUGGUCUCAGGAUCAUGCUACACACUCCAGACCGUGGGCUCAUGCACGGUCAACAGAGAGAUGGCUGCAUUUGACUGCAGUGGAAAAAGACUUACAUCGGUACCAAAGCACAUCUGGAUGAACGUAACCGAACUGGACCUGUCUGAAAAUCUGUUAGAUUUAACCCACAGUGACAGCUUCAAGCGCCUGAACCUCUUCAGCCAUUUAGUCUCACUGAACCUAUCAGGCAACUACCUCCCCCUACUGUUAAAAGUCCAUCUCUACAGCCUUUCUUCUCUUAAGGAUAUUCUAAGGAUGUUAACCGUGGAGCCUUCCUUCGUAAACUAUUCACAGUGGGAUCAACACCUACAAACAAUACAAUUAAUGGUCAACACCUUUUUUUCCUCCUGUAAUCUAGUGUAGAUUAUUACCUGUGAUUACAUCUGAGACUGGCUAACCAGGAGGUUAGUGUGACCCUGCAAACUUUGAGGUGGGAUUCUCCACCCAGGGAGGCCCUGGGAUUCGUGCAGCUCCACCUCCCAGUGGCAUUGAGGAGGAUGACGAUGGGUUUAUUGAAGACAACUAUAUUCAAGCGGGUGAGAGUGAGAGAGCCACAAGAGCAGCAGUGCUGACUGAUGAUGAUGAGGAGGAGGAAGAGAUUGAAUGUAGUAUUGGCUAGCACUAUUACAUCUAACUUUGUUAAACCUUAUUUAUAAUAACUUGCAUUAAGUAGUUAUUAACAAACAUUCAAUACUUCAUAAUCAGUUAUCAAACUAUUCAUUGAUUAAUUAAUUAAAAAAAGAAUAUACAGUGGCCCUAUUAAGGAAUUUCAACACUUAAGCUUAAAAAAAAAAAAAAAAAAAAAAAAAAAAAAAAAAAAAACUAUGUCCAAAAAGUUUCUAGGACAACUUUUUUGAAAGCAUCUGAAAAUAUAUGAAUCAAAGUUGAAUGACAUUUGAAUGUACAAUAGGCCACACGAAAUAAUGAUCUGUUCAGCAUUUUAUACAAUGUUUGUUGACAUUAAUAAUAAUUUAUUAUAGAAUAAUAAGUUAUUAUAGAACUUUAUUUUAAAUUAUAAUAUUAUUAAUAAUUAAUUUUUAAGGAUUUUUCCUACCAGAAUGUGCAUUUACAUUUACUUUUAAUUGCAUUUUGUACCAUAUACUAUAUUUUGUGUUUUGUAUGUUGCACUUCAUUUUUUUUUUUGAGAAAAUGUUAUUAUUUCAUUGGCCACUGGGCGCCGCCUUUGUGUACUUUAUUACUUAGCCUAGAUUUAAAUAUUAAAAUGUUAUUAUUGAUAUUAUUAUAUAUUUUUGUUAUUGUUUAUAAAUGUUAUAUAAUAUAAAACAAAUUAAACAUUACAUGCAUCCACGUCAUCUUAAACGAAUGCCGUGUUAGUGUAUUUUUUUUUGUAUCUAACGUUACUAUUUAAUAAAGGAUUGUUACACUACA